CGGUGGGUGAUGGCGAGCCAGGCCAUGGUGUAGCCGAACAAGUUGAGCAAUGCGGAGACGAACAUGGUGAGACGGGGUCCGACUCUCGCAUUGAGCAAGCCGGCCAGGAAAGCCAUGCUGGUGCCGAGAUCCUUGAAAAAACUGAUGGUAUUGACGGACUCUUGCUUGUAAUGCAGGGAGACUUUGAGCUCCUGUGAGAACAAGCUGAAGCUGGUGAGCGUGCCUCCGGUGAUUGCUAUCAGAUAGAAGCCCGACACUGCGAUGAUCCAGCGAUUGCUGGCGAUGGAGAAGAGUUCCUUGGCCAUUGCUAGCGCCAUUGCCGCCAGCGCUGUGAGUCCGUGCCACGACCGGACUUGCGUCGACGAUCUUUCCUGUUCGAUACAAAAACGUGACAAUUCCGAAGUUUCGUGGCUCCAAAUUUUCUAUGUCGUGGGUCAACUAAGUUGAGCAUUGACGCUUGAUGUGGAUCUGGGGCAGGGCCAGAUGCGGACGCUGGUCAAGUCACGGGUACGGAAAAGUCUACAAAAUGGUCUUGAGCGGGGGCGGAUCCGGAAUCGGCGCAAUGGGCACUGGGAGGACACUGAUAUCCGCAUCUCAAAGUUGAGAAAGCCUAGCAUCCAAGCAUACA